UCCGGUCCCCACCCCACCCCCGCCGCGGGCGCCAUUGUUGUGCGGGGCGGGUCUGAUCGCGCCGCCGCGGCCGCCAUCUUUGUGUGGGGCAGACCCCUUGCCUGCUUCCGGGAGGUGAACGCCGGGAGGCCGCUGGAUGAGAAAAUAGGCUCAGAGGGAAAGAGAUUUGUCCAAGGAUAUAAUACGCAGUUAGUAAGGCUCAACUCGGACUCCAAAGCCAAACUCCUCUAACCACAACGCCCACUCUAAAGACCAGCCCAGAGGUCAACCAACCUGCUCAUCUUUCCUCAUCUUGACCUGUGUUAAGUGCCUCAGGAGAAUGACAGCACCGCGGGCACCGCCCCCAACAGCCAGCAGGUUUUCCUGCUGUCAGCUGGCUCCAGCGUCAACAAUGCAGGAUGCAUUUUGGAACUCCAGGUAUUUGAAAGUGGAACGCACGAUUGCAUAUACGAUAAUUAAUAGCGCGAUUGAAAGGGUUUUGUCUCGCUCUGAGCACAGCUGUUUCCUCCUGACCCGGGGCCAAUAUUAAGAGAAAGUCAACGUAUUUACGAACGAGAUUUAAUAAUGCUCACAAGAAUAGUCUGCCCUCAAAUAGGGAAACGACACAUUGUUUUGUUUCAAAAGGUUAUAAAUGCGGUGCCUGAAAAAUCCAGCAGGUAAGCAACAGGACUAAGGGUCUGUUUUUGGAACUGUCUGCUAGCAAAUACGCAAACUCCUGUCCAGGAAGCGUUUUGUUGGGGCGGCAG